rnacentral:misc_RNA from 1 species
GAAAUGCGAUAAGUAAUGUGAAUUGCAGAAUUCAGUGAAUCAUCGAAUCUUUGGACGCACAUUGCGCCCGCCAGUAUUCUGGCGGGCAUGCCUGUUCGAGCGUCAUUACAACCCUCAGGCCCCCGGGCCUGGCGUUGGGGAUCGGCGGAAGCCCCCUGCGGGCACAACGCCGUCCCCCAAAUACAGUGGCGGUCCCGCCGCAGCUUCCAUUGCGUAGUAGCUAACACCUCGCAACUGGAGAGCGGCGCGGCCACGCCGUAAAACACCCAACUUCUGAAUGUUGACCUCGAAUCAGGUAGGAAUACCCGCUGAACUUAAGC